AUCGAACGAGAAGAAGAAAGAGGUUAUGUAUCGACAACACCUACCACAUCAUACAUCCAUGCAUCCAUGAUUGUCGGUUCUAUCCAAAUGGCGCUAGGAUGCUGGGCUUUUAUUUUCCUCUUAUGCUUUUGUACGAAAAAACGAACGAAAAGCAAAAAUGAUCACGAUGCUUAAGAUCCGAACACUCAUGUAGAACACGAAUAAGCACAUGCACGACGUACUUAUGUACACAUCAUCCCCCUACCACGACGUUGACGGCACGACGAGCCGUACGCGACUGACGGCAAUUCAGACGAUACGAUACAAUGAGGAAAGAGUGAAUCGAUUUGUAAGGGCAAGAUGUUAAUCGAACGAACGAUUCCAUGAUUGGGAGAAAUUUUUAUGAUGCAUCAAGAGUGUGUGUGAAAAUGAAGAAACUCUUUAAGAAUAUAUAAACGAAGAAAGAGCGUAUGAAGUGACAUUGUGUAGACGUAAGAGCCAAUUGAAUUUUCAGACGACUAGGUAGAUCGAUCGAGCCCCAAAACACUCCCUUUACCCCCAUGGUCGAAACAGUCCCAUGCUCGGCCUAAGUUGAUACGUUACUGGCGUUAUGCGUGCUACGUGUAUAUCACGAUGGAAGGGUGAGAAUGG
rnacentral:misc_RNA from 1 species